rnacentral:rRNA from 1 species
CCACCCUGGUGUGUUUGAGGUUCUAACCUUGGCCCGUGAUCCGGGUUGGGGACAGUGUAUGGUGGGCAGUUUGACUGGGGCGGUCUCCUCCCAAAGCGUAACGGAGGAGUUCGAAGGUACGCUAGUUACGGUCGGAAAUCGUGACGAUAGUGCAUUGGCAUAAGCGUGCUUGACUGCGAGACUGACAAGUCGAGCAGGUACGAAAGUAGGACAAAGUGAUCCGGUGGUUCUGUAUGGAAGGGCCAUCGCUCAACGGAUAAAAGGUACUCUGGGGAUAACAGGCUGAUACCGCCCAAGAGUUCAUAUCGACGGCGGUGUUUGGCACCUCGAUGUCGGCUCAUCGCAUCCUGGGGCGGUAGUACGUCCCAAGGGUUGGGCUGUUCGCCCAUGAAAGCGGUACGCGAGCUGGGUUCAGAACGUCGUGAGACAGUUCGGUCCAUAUCCGGUGUAGGCGUUAGAAUAUUGAGAGGAGCCUUCUUUAGUACGAGAGGACCGAGAAGGACAUACCUCUGGUGUACCAGUUAUCGUGCCAACGGUAAACGCUGGGUAGCUAUGUAUGGAGUGGAUAACCGCUGAAAGCAUCUAAGUGGGAAGCCCACCUCAAGAUAAGUAUUCUCAUCACGUAAGUGAGUAAGGUCACGGUAAGACUAACCGUUUGAUAGGCAUUAAGUGUAAGUACAGUAAUGUAUGUGCUGAGAUGUCCUAAUAGACCGAGGACUUG